CUCCCAACAUGGAGCCCACCACCCACUGCUGCAGCGGUGACAGCUUCGCUGGGCAGCAGCAGUGGGCGGUGGGCUCCACGCCGGGAG